rnacentral:lncRNA from 1 species
GCAUAAAAUGCUUACCGCAAACUUUCUAUUUUUUUAUAGAUAUUAUGGUAUGAACAUUAAUUUUUUAUUAUAAAGUUUUGGCGCCUCCCCUGGCAAUAGUCCGCGCAUCCCAAGUUGGAAACCGCGGCCUUAUAGUGAUUAGCCUGCCAAGAAUUGAAAUGCUAUGAUGCUUUCUAAUUGUUUAUUCUUUUAUCAGAUUUUAUCUUUAAUAUUCUUCAGUGUUUAGUAAAUUAUUUUCUGGAACGACUUUUAUUCAAGACAUUUUAGAGAAAUGGUAAUGUUUUAUUCAUUUUUGGACAACUUUCAUUUUUCGCUUUCAGAAAAAAUUAUUUGCAUAAUUUUCUGAAUGUAUUCUUUCCUUUUAAUGAUAAAAUUUAAGGGACUGAAAUACAAAAUCCAAGUAGUCAUUCUUGACAAAUUUUACCAGUGUUUUUCAGCUGGAGUGCUGCGGCACUUUGGGGUGCUGCGACAACUUAGGGUGCCACGGCGCCACGAUUGGGGUGUCGCGAAGUUUAGGCAGUUUCUUGGAAAUUUACUUAUACCGUUUUCAAAGAAAGAACUUUCAAAGCUAAAUUCGAUGAUCGACGAGUCUUUUCAGUUAAGAUUAACGAUAAGUGAUACGAUGUAAACCGAUCGCAAUAGAGAAC